rnacentral:rRNA from 1 species
ACGUAGGGGGCAAGAGUUGUCCGGAAUGAUUGGGCGUAAAGGGCGCGUAGGCGGCCUGGCAAGUCUGGAGUGAAAGUCCUGCUUUUAAGGGGGGAUUUGCUUUGGAUACUGUCGGGCUUGAGUGCAGGAUAGGUAAGUGGAAUUACCGUUGUAGCAGUUAAAUGCGUAGAGAUCGGGAGGAGCACCAGAGGCGAAGGCGGCUUACAGGACUGUAAGUGAGGCUGAGGCGCGAAAGUUUAGGGAGCACACAG